rnacentral:lncRNA from 10 species
CAGAACUGCAGUGAGGGCUGUGAGUGUGGGGUGUCUCAACUGCACCUGGACACGCAGAAGGCACUCUGUGAACACUGACUUUCAUUGGCCCAGGCCUCUGAAUCCAUGACAGUUCAAUCUCUGAACCCCACAGCUUCCUCCUUCACCCUUUGCCGCCCCAGGGCAAGCUUUACUGGGGUGUAACAAACACACGAUAAACUGCGCAUAUUCCAGUGUUCAUGUGGAUGAGUUUGGACAUAUGCACACACUUCCGAAACCACCAGCACAAUCAAGACAGCAGACAUAUCCAUCGCCCCCAAGGGUGUCCUUGUGUCUUUUUGUCAUUCAUCCCUCCCGGCCGCCCCAUCCACACUCCCAUCGCCUGCCGACUGUGGCUGAUCUGCUUUCUGCGGCUGUGGAUUAGUUUGCGUUCUCUACAAUUUUCUGAAGCACCAGUUAGCCCAGAUGCUUCUCAUCUUUGGAGUUGAGCUGCAGGCUGGAGACCUGGAAGGCCCUCGCAGCGCCUGCUCCCAUCCUCUCACCUCACGAAAGCGCAGGAAUGUGGGUUUGGAGCCAAUGAAAAGUACUGGAAUCUGGCUCUGCUCUGUGACCCUGGACAAGUCACUGCCCCUCUCUGGGCUUCAGUUUCCUCCUUGGUAACACAGAAUGAUUAUACCUACCCCUUGGGUUUGUUGACCUGAAUCUACCCCUCAGUCAUUGCCUUUCCUUCUUGCUGCAGCCACACUGGCCCCUUGACAGUUCCUUGAACACAACAAGCCCUUUCCCACCUCAGGGCCUUUGCAUGUGCAGUGCCAGAUGCCUGGAAUGUCCUUCCUUCCAAUCUCCCCAUGGCCGGCUCAUUCUCAUCUUUCUUGGCUCAAAUGUUACCUCCCCAACCUAGACAGCACCGCUGCCACCUCUUCACCCCGUCUUACUCUUCUUCAAGCACUUCUGGAGGUAUCUUGCUAUUUAUCUUGUUUAUAUCUUUUUCAGCUCCAUGAGGGCAGGGGAUUUUGUCUGUUUCAUUCACAAUGUGUUCCCAGAGCUCAGCACAGUGUCAGGCACACACUAGGUAACAGCACCUCGACUUCCUACUGAAGAACCCCCUCUUCCCUUUUCUCAGUCCAUGAGGCUGGGGGUGCCCAGAGGCCUCUGUCUCCAGGGGUGGACAUGUGACCGGGUCUUGCUCUAGUGAUUGGUCCAGGGAUGGGCACAUGACUGAGCCUGCCCAAUGAAACUUGAUCUUGGGACUUCAGGGUUGGCCAUGAUUUGUGAAGGAGAUGCCAUUUUCCAUUGGAUGGACAGUGAGCAAGUGAACGCUUAGAGAAGAAGAGGACAAAACAAGGGAAAAGCCUGCCUGACAGGAAGCAGCACAGAGCUGGACAGGCUUUGAACUCCUGGAUCCCACUGUACCUGAAAUUAGGCACCUUCAACUUUCUAGUUAUGUGAGCCACUGUCUUUCCCAUUUUUGGCUGAAAACAGUUGGGACUGGCUUUCUGUCCCUUGCAUACAGAAGGUGCUGACUGACCCCUGCCCCAUGGAAGAAGAUACUCCAGGCAGAGGAAAUAGUGUGUAUAGACACCCCUAAGCGAAUGCCAAGCGGGGCACUCAUGUACCAAGAAGAAGGAGGAGGAGGCACCUGGGAGCUGAGCUUAAGAGUUAGUCGGGUGGUCAAGGUGGGAGAAGGGGGUAUCUUUAGCAGAGGGAACAACCAUUGCAAAAGCUUGGAGGGGUGACUAGUUAGUGAAGAUCAACUGUGUGCUGAGCUCGUGUUGGGUGGCAAGGGACACAGACGAAAAGGGCACGGUGGAACCCAGCUACUUCUCACCUGCUCCAGCGCAGUGCAGGCUUGUCUGCUUUUGGAGCCGAGCCUGGACACCUCCGUGUCCUUCCCCCGGCAGAGUGCUGCCAGCACGCUGUCUCAGACUCUCCAGCAUCUCCUGGUUGAUGUGCAUCAUGGGGACCACACAAGAUUAUUUUAUAGGCUGCACAGGCAAAGCAUAAAAUCACCUCGGGUCACAUAGCGAGAGUUAUUCUCUCUGCAAAUUCUUUACAGUCUUUCCUUUAUAUCCAGAAGAGUCUCUGUGUGGUGCUAACUUGCCUCGAAGACCAAAUAAUUGCUAGUCUCCCUUUGUGAAAAGGAGAGCAGGUGUCAGGCUCAUUCAUGUCUCAGGCACACAAUUGUAUCUAGCUAGACUUUUCAAAAUGUCCUAUAGAGCUGCAGCACAUAUGAAUGAGGUGUCCAGCUGGUCCCAAACCUGUAAUCGGCACCCCAGUGAGCAGACUGGACAUCCCCACCCCCACAGCUGCCCUUUCUCCCCUCCACUCAUGUUCCCUCUAGGGCCACCACGAUCCCGACUUGUAUCACCACAGAUGAGUUUCACAUGUUUUUGAAUUUUACAUCUUAUCUGUUUUCUGUUCCUAUACAAGUUUGCCUUUUUUGAAUUCCAUAUAAGUGGGAUUCUACAAUGUGUUAUCUCAAUUUGAGUCUGUUUUUUUUUUCCUGCUCAGCAUGAUGUUUUUGAGAUGCAUAUAUGCGGUUUUGUGUAUCUGUAGAUGGUUCUUUUUUAUUGCAGAAUAAUGUUCCAGGGUAUGGAUGUACCAAAGCUUGUUCAUCCAUUCACCAGCUGAGGGAUAUUUGGACUGUUUCCAGUUUUCAGCCAUUAUAAAUAAAGCCACUAGAAACAUUUGCA